GUGCCAGCAGCCGCGGUAAUACGAAGGGUGCAAGCGUUAAUCGGAAUUACUGGGCGUAAAGCGUGCGUAGGCGGUUUCUUAAGUCUGCUGUGAAAGCCCCGGGCUCAACCUGGGAAUGGCGGUGGAUACUGAGAAGCUGGAGUACGGUAGAGGAAGGUGGAAUUCCCGGUGUAGCGGUGAAAUGCGUAGAGAUCGGGAGGAACAUCAGUGGCGAAGGCGGCCUUCUGGACCAGUACUGACGCUGAGGCACGAAAGCGUGGGGAGCAAACAGGAUUAGAAACCCUGGUAGUCC
rnacentral:rRNA from 1 species